AGAUUGAACGCUGGCGGCAUGCCUAACACAUGCAAGUCGAACGGGAGUAGCAAUACUCUAGUGGCGGACGGGUGAGGAAUACGUAGGAAUUUGCCCUUAAGUGGGGGAUAACCCGGGGAAACCCGGAUUAAUACCGCAUGACCUCGAAAGGGCAAAGUGGGGGAUCGCAAGACCUCACGCUUUUGGAGAAGCCUACGUCGGAUUAGCUAGUUGGUGAGGUAAUGGCUCACCAAGGCGACGAUCCGUAACUGGUCUGAGAGGAUGAUCAGUCACACCGGAACUGAGACACGGUCCGGACUCCUACGGGGAGGCAGCA
rnacentral:rRNA from 1 species